UGGGGAAUAUUGGACAAUGGGCGCAAGCCUGAUCCAGCCAUGCCGCGUGAGUGAUGAAGGCCCUAGGGUUGUAAAGCUCUUUCACCGGUGAAGAUAAUGACGGUAACCGGAGAAGAAGCCCCGGCUAACUUCGUGCCAGCAGCCGCGGUAAUACGAAGGGGGCUAGCGUUGUUCGGAUUUACUGGGCGUAAAGCGCACGUAGGCGGACUUUUAAGUCAGGGGUGAAAUCCCGGGGCUCAACCCCGGAACUGCCUUUGAUACUGGAAGUCUUGAGGAUGGUAGAGGUGAGUGGAAUUCCGAGUGUAGAGGUGAAAUUCGUAGAUAUUCGGAGGAACACCAGUGGCGAAGGCGGCUCACUGGACCAUUACUGACGCUGAGGUGCGGAAGCGUGGGGAGCAAACAGG
rnacentral:rRNA from 1 species